rnacentral:sRNA from 1 species
CUGAAUAGAUUUAUCAACUCUAGCGCUUCUGAUUUGUACGAACGAUUAAUAUAUAAUAAAAA